CGCAGAAUCCCGUGAACCAUCGAGUCUUUGAACGCAAGUUGCGCCCGAAGCCUUUAGGCCGAGGGCACGCCUGCCUGGGCGUCA
rnacentral:rRNA from 1 species